UUCCCAGUUUAUUUUCCAAGUUAGUCAGCAGUCUUUGGUUUCAUGUUGGUGUACUUAGUUCCUACUUCUGCAGUUCCUAUUUGCCACAAAGUCGUGCAUGGACACAUGAUGAACUUGUAGUUCAUGGUGUUAUUCAUGCCACUAAUCGUAUCAACUGGACAUGGUGAUUUAAUUUGCACGCUAUAUAAGCCAUUUUUUGGGUGUUGAAGUUCCUUCCUGUUUACAUUUUUCUAGCCUAGUACUCCCUCCGUUCCGAAUUACUUGCCGCACGUAUGGAUGUAUCUAGAUGUAUUUCAGUUCUAGAUACAUCUAUUUCAGUGACGAGUAAUUUGGGACGGAGGGAGUACUUGAUACUAAUUUUUGUUUUAUUCUAUGUAGUGCUUGAGGCUAAUUUCUCUCAGAAGCCCAUUUCUGACUGGAUGUCUUCUGUUACUCAAAGUGUACAUGAUAUCCUUCUUCAAAGUUAACUACCAUUCCUGGGAUAUUUUUAUACCUCUAUAGUUUAUUGAUUAAAAACCAAGAAUAUGCAGAUGGUUGUAAUUUAGUCUAAGAUCCUGGUGCUCACUAAAUUUCUCUAUCAAUUAACCAAUCAGCCAAGAGAAACACACAGUAGCAGAUUGUUGUACCGUCUUCAACACACACGUACGGGUAAUGCCUAGAGUACAAAAAUAAUAUUAUUCAGUCAUCUGUUGUAGCGUAGAAUUGUUCUUUGUAGUUCAGUUUUCAGUUUUGUCAGUCAUGCCACAUUUAAUUUAUCAUUAAGAUUCAUUUUCCAGUUUUCAGAUUGGUGUGUUAUUUUUAGUUAAAUAGUAUUAUUAUAGCUUAUUCUUAUAGGUUUGUAUUUCAGCUUUUUUUCAGUUUCAGUCUGUAAUCAUGAGUGUGGUACUACAUUAUUUAUUACAUAGUUCUCUUUAUUUUCAUUUUUCAGCAAGCAUCUCAUGUAUUUUCUUAGUAUUUCAUUAUUGCCACUGUGUACUGGUCAUCAGUUAUAUGUGGUUAUGGUUUAGGGGUUCAUUUUCUAAUCAAUAGUUCAUAGUUUUUUCAUGGUUUAGUUAAUAGUUUUCAAUUUUUUCAGGGUUCAGUGUAUUGUUUUCAGUGUUAUAUAUUCAUUUUGUGUUCAGUCUUGCAUGAUUAUUUACAGUGACAUCAGUGUUUCAUCAAUCAUCAGUUUUGAUAUUUUGCUUUAGUUCUUAGCGUGAGUUUACAGAUUUCUAGUUUAGUAUAGUUCAUCAGUUAGGUUUUAGUUUUUAAACAGGGAGUGACAUCAUUUGUUUAGUGUUCAUAGGUUUUCUGUUAUGUUUCAGUUUUCAAUCGUGUAGUUAUUUCUGUAAGUAGUUUCAGAGUGUUAGGUGUCAUUUUUUUAGUUCCGUCAGUUAGUUUCAUUCUUCAUUAGUUUCUUCAUUUCUUAGUCUCAGUUAUCAGUUCUUAGUCUUCAGAGUUAGUUCUCAGUACCCUUCUAAGGAUCAAUAUCUUUUAGUUAUGUUAAAGUUCCUCUGUAGGUCGAGCUGCAUGGAACCUCUUAUCUUUAGCCCUUCAACAUUGCUUUGAGAAAUUACCAUUCAAGAUCACGGGGACGGGCUGGCUGGAAUACAAUUGGGAACAUGGAGCAUUACCACUGUUGUGUAUAAGAAUUUUAAGGACGGCGAAAUCAAAUUUAAGAAGGGGUGGAAGGAGUUUGUGAUGAGGAAGACAAUGCUGUACUAAUCACUUUCAGGAGCAGCACAUUCGUGGAGUUCAAAAUGAUAAUGAUCAUCAACAAGUGAGUUGCUCGUGUUUAUUCAAGAAGGCGAUGAUGUGCUUUUCCUGAAGUAUAAAUCGUUCGCUGUGCGCAAUUUUUAUUUUGUUAUAGUUGUUGUGUUUGCUUCAAGCUACUGGAACCUUUUUAUGAGCCAUCUAUUUUCAGUAUCUUUUUGUUCAGUUAGCUUUCAUGUAUGUAGUGCCAAUCAAUCGCCUAGCUAUGCUCAAUAGCAUCUGUAUUUUCCCAAUCUGUACUAGUAUUUUUUGUUUGAACCGAAAUCUGUACUAGUAUCAUCAGUUAUUGAUUCUAUUUUUUUAA